rnacentral:rRNA from 1 species
CCUACGGGAGGCUGCAGUCGAGAAUCUUCGGCAAUGGGCGCAAGCCUGACCGAGCGACGCCGCGUGGAGGACGAAGGCCUUCGGGUUGUAAACUCCUGUCGAGGGGGAGGAAGGUCGCGCGAGCGGCUUGACCGAUCCCUGGAGGAAGCACGGGCUAAGUUCGUGCCAGCAGCCGCGGUAAGACGAACCGUGCGAACGUUAUUCGGAAUCACUGGGCUUAAAGCGCGUGUAGGCGGGCGGGAACGUCGGAUGCUGAAAUCCCCCGGCUCAACCGGGGAACGGGCGCCGAAACGACCCGCCUCGAGGGACGUAGGGGGACCUGGAACUUCCGGUGGAGCGGUGAAAUGCGUUGAGAUCGGAAGGAACGCCCGUGGCGAAAGCGAGGUCCUGGACGUCCGCUGACGCUGAGACGCGAAAGCUAGGGUAGCGAACGGGAUUAG